AUUGAACGCUGGCGGCAUGCUUUACACAUGCAAGUCGAACGGCAGCGCGGGCUUCGGCCUGGCGGCGAGUGGCGAACGGGUGAGUAAUACAUCGGAACGUGCCCAGUAGUGGGGGAUAGCCCGGCGAAGGCCGGAUUAAUACCGCAUACGACCUGAGGGUGAAAGCGGGGGAUCUUCGGACCUCGCGCUAUUGGAGCGGCCGAUGGCAGAUUAGCUAGUUGGUGGGGUAAAGGCCUACCAAGGCGACGAUCUGUAGCUGGUCUGAGAGGACGACCAGCCACACUGGGACUGAGACACGGCCCAGACUCCUACGGGAGGCAGCAGUGGGGAAUUUUGGACAAUGGGCGAAAGCCUGAUCCAGCAAUGCCGCGUGUGUGAUGAAGGCCUUCGGGUUGUAAAGCACUUUUGGCGGGAACGAAAAGGACUGUGCCAAUACCACGGUUCGAUGACGGUACCCGCAGAAUAAGCACCGGCUAACUACGUG
rnacentral:rRNA from 1 species